UGGGGAAUUUUGGACAAUGGGGGAAACCCUGAUCCAGCCAUCCCGCGUGUGCGAUGAAGGCCUUCGGGUUGUAAAGCACUUUUGGCAGGAAAGAAACGUCGCGGGUUAAUACCCCGCGAAACUGACGGUACCUGCAGAAUAAGCACCGGCUAACUACGUGCCAGCAGCCGCGGUAAUACGUAGGGUGCAAGCGUUAAUCGGAAUUACUGGGCGUAAAGCGUGCGCAGGCGGUUCGGAAAGAGAGAUGUGAAAUCCCAGAGCUUAACUUUGGAACUGCAUUUUUUAACUACCGGGCUAGAGUGUGUCAGAGGGAGGUGGAAUUCCGCGUGUAGCAGUGAAAUGCGUAGAUAUGCGGAGGAACACCGAUGGCGAAGGCAGCCUCCUGGGAUAACACUGACGCUCAUGCACGAAAGCGUGGGGAGCAAACAGGAUUAGAUACCCUGGUAGUCCACGCCCUAAACGAUGUCAACUAGCUGUUGGGGCCUUCGGGCCUUGGUAGCGCAGCUAACGCGUGAAGUUGACCGCCUGGGGAGUACGGUCGCAAGAUUAAAACUCAAAUGAAUUGACGGGGGUCAUAGCUGUUUCCUG
rnacentral:rRNA from 1 species